rnacentral:rRNA from 1 species
GAUGAACGCUGGCAGCGUGCCUAAUACAUGCAAGUCGAGCGAACAGAUGAGGAGCUUGCUCCUCUGACGUUAGCGGCGGACGGGUGAGUAACACGUGGAUAACCUACCUAUAAGACUGGGAUAACUUCGGGAAACCGGAGCUAAUACCGGAUAAUAUAUUGAACCGCAUGGUUCAAUAGUGAAAGACGGUUUUGCUGUCACUUAUAGAUGGAUCCGCGCCGCAUUAGCUAGUUGGUAAGGUAACGGCUUACCAAGGCAACGAUGCGUAGCCGACCUGAGAGGGGGAACGGCCACACAGGAACUGAGACACGGCCCAGACUCCUACGGGAGGCAGGAGUAGGGAAUCUUCCGAAAGGGGCGAAAGCCUGACGGAGCAACGCCGCGUGGGUGAAGAAGGUCUUCGGAUCGUAAAACUCUGUUAUUAGGGAAGAAAAAAUGUGUAAGUAACUAUGCACGUUUUGACGGUACCUAAUCAGAAAGCCACGGCUAACUACGU